rnacentral:miRNA from 1 species
AAAUGAUGAUUCUGCUGCUGCUGCUGCUGCUGCUGCUGCUGCUGAUUCAUCAUCAUCAUCAUCAUCAUCAUCAUCAUGGCAA